rnacentral:rRNA from 1 species
GAUGAACGCUGGCGGCGUGCCUAAUACAUGCAAGUCGAGCGAAUGGAUUAAGAGCUUGCUCUUAUGAAGUUAGCGGCGGACGGGUGAGUAACACGUGGGUAACCUGCCCAUAAGACUGGGAUAACUCCGGGAAACCGGGGCUAAUACCGGAUAACAUUUUGAACCGCAUGGUUCGAAAUUGAAAGGCGGCUUCGGCUGUCACUUAUGGAUGGACCCGCGUCGCAUUAGCUAGUUGGGGAGGUAACGGCUCACCAAGGCAACGAUGCGUAGCCGACCGGAGAGGGUGAUCGGCAACACUGGGACUGAGACACGGCCCAGACUCCUCCGGGAGGCAGCAGUAGGGAAUCUUCCGCAAUGGACGAAAGUCUGACGGAGCAACGCCGCGUGAGUGAUGAAGGCUUUCGGGUCGUAAAACUCUGUUGUUAGGGAAGAACAAGUGCUAGUUGAAUAAGCUGGCACCUUGACGGUACCUAACCAGAAAGCCACGGCUAACUACGUGCCAGCAGCCGCCGUAA